UACGUAGGGUGCAAGCGUUGUCCGGAAUUAUUGGGCGUAAAGAGCUCGUAGGCGGUCUGUCGCGUCUGCUGUGAAAACUCAGGGCUUAACCCUGAGCUUGCAGUGGGUACGGGCAGACUAGAGUGCGGUAGGGGAGAUCGGAAUUCCUGGUGUAGCGGUGAAAUGCGCAGAUAUCAGGAGGAACACCGGUGGCGAAGGCGGAUCUCUGGGCCUGUCCUGACGCUGAGGCGCGAAAGCUAGGGGAGCGAACAGG
rnacentral:rRNA from 1 species